rnacentral:piRNA from 1 species
AAGGUUCUAAGACUGGAAAAGCUCA